rnacentral:rRNA from 1 species
CCCUUAGAUGUUCUGGGCCGCACGCGUGCUACACUGAUGCAUUCAACGAGUCUAAAACCUGGUCUGAUAGGGCUGGGUAAUCUUUUGAAAGUGCAUCGUGAUUGGGAUAGAUGAUUGCAAUUCUUCAUCUUCAACGAGGAAUGCCUAGUAAACGCAAGUCAUCAGCUUGCAUUGAUUACGUCCCUGCCCUUUGUACACACCGCCCGUCGCUCCUACCGAUUGAGUGGUCCGGUGAGGCCGUGGGAGGGCUGGACCAUCUGUGUUCCACAGUAAUCUGGCCCAAACCUGGUCAAACCUUAUCACUUAGAGGAAGGAGAAGUCGUAACA